rnacentral:snRNA from 1 species
AUACUUACCUUGCGUUCGCAGUCUUGGGUGAUCAAGGAUACCUGACUGUCGGCAGUGGGUCUGGGCAUCGCACAGCGACCCUUCCGCUUCACCCAGCACCGCUGUCGGGUUUAUGUCCAUGAUGUAAGCCGAUGCUCAAUCUCUUGAUCGGACGGGCCGGCUUUCGAGCUGGCUCGCC